GACGAACGCUGGCGGCGUGCUUAACACAUGCAAGUCGAACGGUGAAGCGCCUUCCUUUUUGGUGGGUGUGGAUGAGUGGCGAACGGGUGAGUAACACGUGAGUAACCUGCCCCCCUCUUCUGGAUAACCGCAUGAAAGUGUGGCUAAUACGGGAUAUUCUGGGUCUGUCGCAUGAUGGGUCUGGGAAAGAUAUUGUUUCGGUGGGGGAUGGGCUCGCGGCCUAUCAGCUUGUUGGUGGGGUGAUGGCCUACCAAGGCGGUGACGGGUAGCCGGCCUGAGAGGGUGGACGGUCACACUGGGACUGAGACACGGCCCAGACUCCUACGGGAGGCAGCAGUGGGGAAUAUUGCACAAUGGGCGCAAGCCUGAUGCAGCGACGCCGCGUGAGGGAUGGAGGCCUUCGGGUUGUGAACCUCUUUCGCCAGUGAAGCAGGCCUGCCUCGUUUGUGGGUGGGUUGACGGUAGCUGGAUAAGAAGCGCCGGCUAACUACGUG
rnacentral:rRNA from 1 species